GAUUUGGCCCGACAAGGGCCCACUUGCGCCGCUUCGCCCGUUUGACCACCCAAAUUUCCCCGUUCUAAAAAAGAGUCCCACAAAGGCAAUUUCCAGCCUUUAUGGGUCAGCCCAAUCAAUUUUCAGCCAAAAUCACAUUGGCCCACCCCAAAAGUCGUAGGUUAUAGCACACCGAUUUGACCAAAAAAGGUCCGUUCGCGUCAUUUCGCCCAUUUGACCACCUAAACCAC
rnacentral:lncRNA from 1 species